rnacentral:lncRNA from 1 species
CAGAAGGUUCACUGCAGGACUCGUGGACAUGGGGCAGGUGGUCACUGCCAGCCUGGGAAGCAGCAGGUGGGAGGAGGAGGUGCUGUGUCCAGCUGAUGGCAGGUUCUUCAGAUGUCACCAGGAAACCAUUUCAGGGCUUUAGACUGUUAGCACUGGGGAGAACAGAAACUUGAUGAGGCCUCUCAUAAACCCUCAGGCAGACGGGCAGACCCAGCACAAAUCCUCCAGCCUGAUGUCUCCCAAAGCACUUGUGCUGUGUACUUCUGCUGUGAACUUCACCUUCCAUAAAAUUUGUGCAUGGCUGUGGCACUCUCCAAGGCCACUGAGCUUAUUUUCUGUGGGCUCCAAGGUCGCAUGGCCAUUCCCCUAACAACUCCUCUUGUGGAAGUGUAUGGCUGACUCACCGCCUUCCCCCUCCUCAAUUCCCAUGAAGCAUUACCCACAGAGGAUUUGCAAAUGUGCAAAUAUGUGCAGAUACAAUGGAGAGCGGUGUGGAGGUUCCUUGGAAGAAUAAAAAUAGAACAACAGUAUGGCUCAGCAAGCCCUCUUCUGUGUAUAUUUAAAAGAAAUGAAAUCAGCAUGUGGAAGAGACAUCUAUACUCAUGGGUUUUCUUCAACACCCUUCACAAUAAGAAGGAAUAGAAUCCAUCUUAAUGUCCUGUGGAUGGAUAGAUGGCUAAGCAAAUUGGCAGGUGUACUGUGGAAUAUUAUUCAGCCCCCAAAAGGAAAGAGAUACCAGCACUUUCAGCAACUUGGGUGGACUUAGAGGACAUUGUGUUGAAUUACAUAAGCCAGGCACAGAGAAAUCUGGCACAACCUCACUUACAUGGGCAAUCUAGAAAUGUAAACUUACAGAGGCUGAGAAUAAAUUGGUGAGGGCGAGAAAAAGAUGUUGGUCGAUGCUACAUGGGCACAUGUAUGCCAGGUGAGUGAGACCUAGAGAUCUGCACCCUAGCUGCC